UGGGCUUGAUAAAAGUUGAAAGAAUUUGAUUCUGAAAUCAAUUUGGAAGAGUCCAAGUUGAUUGAGACUCUUCGGGUGACCUAAUCUCAUCGGAUUAUGGUUACGUCGAAAGUUCAGGUCCACUACUGGUUAGAUUUGAAACCCAAUGGGUCACACACUUUGAAAUUUAAUCUUAUUUUAAUUUAAUUAGAGUUUAAUAUAAAUUUUAUGGAUUAAUU
rnacentral:lncRNA from 1 species